ensembl:snRNA U1 U1 spliceosomal RNA
CAGGGGCGAUACCAUCAUCGCGAAGGCUGUUCACCCAGGGCGAGGCUCUGCCGUUGCACUUGGGUGGUGCUGACCCUUGCGAAUUCCUCAAAUGCAGGAAUCUCGACUG